GGAUAUGAGGGCAAUCUCACUGCAACAUGUGUCACCCCACUGAUCGCCAGGGUUGAUUCAGCAGAUCUGGCUGGCUAGGAGGAUGUCCCCUUCCUCCCGCAACGCUCCAUGUGCAUCCCUCCUGAAGCUGCGCACUUGGUCGAAGAGGACGACCAGCCCCGAUAGAGGAGGACCGUUCCUGGGUCAAGGGUAUACGCGUAGCUGCGCUCCCCUGCUGGAACCUCCAAACAAGCUCUCGAGGGCCCUUCCCAGUCCUCGUCAUGGCCCAGGAGGUUUAUAUUUGUAAUCCCAUUACUGGAACCCUAGUGGGUUAAUUCCAAUCUAC
rnacentral:snRNA from 1 species